rnacentral:rRNA from 1 species
AUUGAACGCUGGCGGCAGGCCUAACACAUGCAAGUCGAACGGUAGCACAGAGAGCUUGCUCUCGGGUGACGAGUGGCGGACGGGUGAGUAAUGUCUGGGAAACUGCCCGAUGGAGGGGGAUAACUACUGGAAACGGUAGCUAAUACCGCAUAACGUCGCAAGACCAAAGUGGGGGACCUUCGGGCCUCACACCAUCGGAUGUGCCCAGAUGGGAUUAGCUAGUAGGUGGGGUAAUGGCUCACCUAGGCGACGAUCCCUAGCUGGUCUGAGAGGAUGGCCAGCCAAACUGGAACGGAGACACGGUCCAGACUCCUACGGGAGGCAGGAGUGGGGAAUAUUGCACAAUGGGCGCAAGCCUGAUGCAGCCAUGCCGCGUGUAUGAAGAAGGCCUUCGGGUUGUAAAGUACUUUCAGCGGGGAGGAAGGCGGUGGAGUUAAUAGCUUCACCGAUUGACGUUACCCGCAGAAGAAGCACCGGCUAACUCCGUGCCAGCAGCCGCGGUAA